UUUAUUUAUUUUCUGAAUUUUCAAUUUAUUUAUUUAAUUUCGAACUUUAAGUUUAUUUAUUUUCUAAAAAAAUUAUUUUCCAGUUUUUAAUUAAUUUAUUUAUUUAUUUUCGAAUUUUCAGUUUAUUUAUUUAUUUAUUUCCAAUUUAUUUAUUUUUGAAUUUUCAAUUUAUUUGUUUUCCAGUUUUCAGUUCAUUUAAUUAAAGAGUAAAAAAAAAGAAAGAAAUAGCUUAUAAAAAAAUAAAAAAGAACACUUUAAUAAGUCAAAGCAUUAAAAUAAUUUCAAAUAGCUAAUGAAAAAUUAGCAAAAGUAAUCAAAAUAUAUUAACACUACCCUUUUAGUCUUUUACACCACUUUUACACCACCUUUUUCAGCUUUCUUAGUUUCCGUGCCGACCAUCAAAUGGGUAGUUGAUUGGUGGACGGAGGGAGUAUAUAUU
rnacentral:lncRNA from 1 species